UACGGGGGGGGCAAGCGUUGUUCGGAAUUACUGGGCGUAAAGGGCUCGUAGGCGGCCAACUAAGUCCGACGUGAAAUCCCUCGGCUUAACCGGGGAACUGCGUCUGAUACUGGAUGGCUUGAGUUUGGGAGAGGGAUGCGGAAUUCCAGGUGUAGCGGUGAAAUGCGUAGAUAUCUGGAGGAACACCGGUGGCGAAGGCGGCAUCCUGGACCAACACUGACGCUGAGUGAGCGAAAGCCAGGGGAGCAAACGGG
rnacentral:rRNA from 1 species